rnacentral:tRNA from 1 species
AGUAAGGUGCCUGAAAAAAGGACAAUUUUGAUAGAAUUGAUCAUGUGGCCCCCCACCUUUGCUA